GACAAUGGGGUCAUCAGUGAACCCUUAUAUAUGGCCUGGACUUAGUCUCAUCAGUCAGUGUACAACCGACAUUCACAAUACAAACAAUCAAUAUGUUCAAGCUUCUGAUCCUCGCUGCCCUGAUGGCGUUUGCCGCCGCUAAGCCCCUCGUCUACACGUACUCGGCUCCCGUGGCUGCCUACAGCGCCCCCUACGCAGCCUACACAGUCCCCCUCGCCUACAGCGCCUACUCCGCCUACUCCCCCGUCACCUAUUCCGCUUAUUCUUACGCCGCGCCUUACUCUUACUAUAUUUAGAUGCCUCAACGCGUAUAUCAUAAUGAAGUUUAUUUAUAAUUAACGAUACUGGACCAAAUGUAGUACUUAGCUAAGAAAGUGAAUUACACUCUAUAAAACCAA